UAUCUUUAUGUUUGAUCAGGAUUUCUCGUUACUCAUGUCAGCAUUCUCACUUCUGAUAUCUCCAAGUGUUGUCACCAAAAACCUUCCGGGUAAUUUAUGGCAGGACAAUGCCCUGUGCUUUCCUGUAUGUGAGGAAUUCCCCCCGGGGGGGUUAUUAUGUUUAUGGAAAUAAGAGGGAUACCUUCAGUGUAACUCAGUGGGCUUUGUUGUCUACACUGAGGACUAUCUUAAGACCAUAUCUUUUUUCAACAAUUAGUGAAUUAAAUACAAACUGAGCCUGCAGAAAAGAAGUCAUUGAUUGUAAACAUAGUCAAACUAAAGUAGUAUGUCUCGGCAUGUUCUAUUACAGAGUUUUGAUAAAUUUUUGUUUUAAACCAUAGGCAAAUUAUAUGAUACAGUAAUCUUUAAUCUGUUCAGAAUAACCAUUAUAAGGUGAUAAGUUUCAUGGAUCACAGGGAAUAGAAGAAAUUGCAUUGUGUGGUUUAUUUGGAUGAAUUGCAGGUGCGAUUCUAAUUUAAAACAAAUAAAGCUAACACUUCCCUCAUUUUCAAAAUUUUUAGAAUACCUCCUUUAUUCCUUACUCGAUUUGACCUAACGUUCUGUUCUUGUGCAAUGUCACUCAUCACCAACAAAACUUAAUGAAACUUUCUCCCAAAACAUUCUACCGAGUAAAAUUACAAAAUUAAGCAACAACAAACACUUAGCCGAUCAUACAAACACUCAAUCUCUUUCAGCCAAAAGAGGUGGUCCAGAAAGGGCUAGAUAGCAAAAGAGUUUAACCACUUUAAUCCAUUCUUUUAAAAAGAGACCAUGGCAUCAGUUGGAUUCAGGUUCAAAAAAUUACAUUGCAAAUAUUUACUCCAAAUAUCGUGUUUUUUAGACGCUAACACAGCAGGAGGCAAGAAAAAGCCAAUAUUCUACUACUAAAAUAUCAAGGUUUUGAGAGAAUUGUCGAUCGAGGUGAACCCUCAGUUCCACUUUUGAAAUCAAUUCUGAAAACUUAAUCGAAGAGCAACAGAAACACCGAAACUAAAAUCUUAGCAUCUUCUAGCGAGAAGCCAAAAAGA